AAUGACAGUGAGUACAGGUGUUUUAACAUAUGAGGGUAGAACUGACUAUGACAGUGAGUACAGGUGAUGUAACAUAUGAGGGUAGAACUGUAGAACUGACUAUGACAGUGAGUACAGGUGUUGUAACAUAUGAGGGUAGAACUGACUAUGACAGUGAGUACAGGUGAUGUGACAGUGAGUACAGGUGAUGUAACAUGAGGGUAGAACUGUAGAACUGACUAUGACAGUGAGUACAGGUGAUGUAACAUAUGAGGGUAGAACUGACUAUGACAGUGAGUACAGGUGAUGUAACAUAUGAGGGUAGAACUGACUACAGGUGUUGUAACAUAUGAGGGUAGAACUGACUAUGACAGUGAGUACAGGUGAUGUAACAUAUGAGGGUAGAACUGACUAUGACAGUGAGUACAGGUGAUGUAACAUAUGAGGGUAGAAGUGUAGAACUGACUAUGACAGUGAGUACAGGUGUUGUAACAUAUGAGGGUAGAACUGACUAUGACAGUGAGUACAGGUGAUGUAACAUAUGAGGGUAGAACUGACUAUGACAGUGAGUACAGGUGAUGUAACAUAUGAGGGUAGAACUGUAGAACUGACAAUGACAGUGAGUACAGGUGUUUUAACAUUGAGGGUAGAACUGACUAUGACAGUGAGUACAGGUGAUGUAACAUAUGAGGGUAGAACUGACUAUGACAGUGAGUACAGGUGAUGUAACAUAUGAGGGUAGAACUGUAGAACUGACUAUGACAGUGAGUACAGGUGUUGUAACAUAUGAGGGUAGAACUGACUAUGACAGUGAGUACAGGUGAUGUGACAGUGAGUACAGGUGAUGUAACAUGAGGGUAGAACUGUAGAACUGACUAUGACAGUGAGUACAGGUGAUGUAACAUAUGAGGGUAGAACUGACUAUGACAGUGAGUACAGGUGAUGUAACAUAUGAGGGUAGAACUGACUACAGGUGUUGUAACAUAUGAGGGUAGAACUGACUAUGACAGUGAGUACAGGUGAUGUAACAUAUGAGGGUAGAACUGACUAUGACAGUGAGUACAGGUGAUGUAACAUAUGAGGGUAGAAGUGUAGAACUGACUAUGACAGUGAGUACAGGUGUUGUAACAUAUGAGGGUAGAACUGACUAUGACAGUGAGUACAGGUGAUGUAACAUAUGAGGGUAGAACUGACUAUGACAGUGAGUACAGGUGAUGUAACAUAUGAGGGUAGAACUGUAGAACUGACAAUGACAGUGAGUACAGGUGUUUUAACAUUGAGGGUAGAACUGACUAUGACAGUGAGUACAGGUGAUGUAACAUAUGAGGGUAGAACUGACUAUGACAGUGAGUACAGGUGAUGUAACAUAUGAGGGUAGAACU